rnacentral:lncRNA from 1 species
CUAAAGUGUACAUAUUUUUAAAUUCAUAGAACAAAUAAUGAUAUGGGAGCAAUUCCUUAUAAUCUUACAAUACAAAUUAAGCUUCUGAAGGCUAUUCAACCAUGUUUAUUUGCUGAAGUAUUGCAAAAUUUGAAUGUUUGGAUUGUUAAUAAUUAUUUCAACUAUAAAACCCCGUUCUCUCCAAUAUGGUAUUGCUGUAGGUUGGCAACAAAAUGUCAAUGGGGAUGUAAGACCAGAUGGUUCUCUAGAGAAGAUGUGUUAAUGGUAUAAAACAAGUCAGAUAUACAAUUAAAGGAACACUCUUGUCACUAGUACCACUGCAGCUUAAUGUAGUGGUUUUGGGGCAUGUAACCUGACCCUGCAGGGUCUGCAGUGUUCAUGCUGCCUGUAAUGGAUCCCCUAUACUCUGCUUGAGUAUAUCCGCUGUAGUUCUCCCACCCAAACAUCAGCCUAGACUUGAUGAAAUGUACAACAGGAAUCAUUUAUUGUGGCCAGAUGGCCUGCUUUUAUACACAUCAGGGUUACAGCUAAACACGUCCACAACACGCCUAUGAAUUUCUGAGUCAGGAUGAUUAAGCAUAAAAAUGCCCCAAAACAUCAUAAAAAUAUAUAAUAACCCCACAAAAAUUCCAUCCUUAAAUAUCACUGAUCUGAGCGCCUAAGUUCUCCAAAUAACGCUCAGAUCCAUGCAGUGUAGGGGAAACACCACCGUGUCAAAGUUCUGACCGGCCGCAAACAUGGUCCUAUGCCCAAAACCGUUCCAGUGCGUUUGGUGCUUUGGCCGGUCAACCUUCGGGAGCUCCUUGGCCGCAAUACAGGGUGCUCCGUCUGGGUCUCGGGUAGCAUUUGUUCCCCUUAGUCUCAGACACCUUCCCUCCAAAAAGCACUCUCAUGGAGGAUUUCAAAGUCGUUUAAACCCCCAGACUAAGUUGUCCGGGAGUCGCACGGUCACCUCAUGCCUUAAAACAGUUCCAUAACAUUUGCAGCUGAGUCCUGCAGAGGUGACCGGGAACCCACAAAGUCCUAAUGCUGAAUUUAGUUCCAUAACGAUAACGGCUAAGGACAAUUCUUGGGUUUCUUCAUGCGAAUGACCGCUAGGAAGCUAGUAUUCAGCUCCAUUUGAAUAAAGGGAAAUUGCUGAACCAAGGAAAGCUGCCUAUGGAGGCUGGGGAGAUUUAACUCCCGAACAGGGUUUUUGUAUGUGGCCCAUAGUCCUUGGGCAGGAAGCUAGCUAGCAGGCUCCUCCAGGAGUUUGUGACAAACGUCCAGGGUAAGGAGCGUUUGUCACACUGCCUUUUCAACUAAAACUCAGGCAGCCACUAGAGGGACUUCCUAGACGAGGUCCUGCAAUCUUUGUAGGACCUAUGUUGAGGAUCACCAAGCUCUGCUUGAAGACAUUGAACGCUCCCCAUAGAGAUGCACUUAUUCUAAUCAUCUCUAUGCGGAGAUGCUGAUUGUCGUAACACGUUGAAUUGACGUGCAUGCACACUAGCCUCCCAUAGCUUCCCUAUGGGAGAAACGUUGGAUUGGCUGGGAUCAUCAAUAUUGAUGAUCUCUGCCAAGGAGGCGGGACCGGAAGCGCAGAGCCUGGCGCUGCUGGAUAUAAGGAGAGUAAAAAAUUAGAAUGCUGAUAAAUGAACUAAAAAUUCCAGAAACCUUGCUGUGAAGAGAAGAGGACUUAGGUUUGUUUGCUCCUCACCUACACUUUACCCCUUCCAGUAUUUGAUGAAGAAAUUUCAUAGUUAAAGAUCCUUGCACUAGAAUUUGAUGUUUCUGACUGACUGACUACACAAAAAGUAUUUUUAUAUUUUAUUCAAUUAAAUACAAUUAAUUAAAAUUCAAUGGUUUUGAACUGGCCCUUUAACAGAACAUUCCAAUUAAAAAUAAUAUAUUCUAUAUACAUUUUUUUUAUUUCAGUGUUAAACUUAUUAGAUUAGUUGCUCUUGAAAGGAUAUGCAUCUUCUGACUAGGUUAUUAGGAGUAUACAGCUGGAUGGAGGUCACAGAUUUAGAGAAAAAAUAAAGCUAAAAGACAGGAUCACAACUGCAAAAUAAGAUAUAGCAUGGCAUUAGUGAAGUAAUGAAGGUGGAUGACCGGUGUUGACUGGUCAGUGAAGUUAGGCAUUUAAAAUAAGAAAGCUGCAAUAUGAUAUGGAACUAGACUGCAGUUAGCUUAGGUAGGACAUAAAAUUAACAAGCAGUCCUAUGUAGAGUGAGUUAGGGUAUGAAUCUAUGUUGGUACAUACAGGGCCGGUGCAAGCAUUUCUGCUGCCCUAGGCAAAAAAUAUUUUGUCGCCCCAUUGGCUCCACCCACUCAUACCGACUAACAUACGCACUGACCCAUGCAGACCGACGCACACACUGAUCCAUGCAGAGACACACAUAUAGACAGAACUGACCCAUGGAGGCACACACACACAAUGACCCAUGCAGGCACACACUGACCUAUACAGACUGACAUACACAAACAUAUUGACUGAAGCAGACUAACAUAUUCUCUGACACACAUCUUACCUUCAUUGCUGUUUCUAUGUUUCCAUCUUGCCUGCGCCUGGUGGCCCCAGUACUUCCUUUUUCUGCACAUUUCCUGACAUGCUCCCGCCCACUGUCACCAUGUACAGGGGAAGGGGCUGGAGCAAGCAAUUGAAGCGCCCUCGCGCUGCGGUCGUGUGUCGCAACGGAUGUCUGAGAGGGGGUCUGGCUGAGCGGACUGAUGUGUAUGCCACCUGACCGGUAAGUGCUCCUUAGCGCUCGGGAACAUGGCCGGCGGCACGCUAGAAAUAGAGGGGCGGCCGUGGCACAAACUUAAUAGAGAGGUAGCACAAAUCAUCAUAAAGCCGCAGGGCCGGCGCCGUUCUUUAAGCAGCGCCCUUGGUACAUAUUGGGGGUUGGGCCUAGGCUUGGAUAGAGAUGGUGGAGAAUGCUAAACCUGAAAAAAUAAUUUAAAUAAUGGUACUGCAUUAUGGUGCUUUAAAUUAUAUUAAAGGAACACUAUAGGGUCAGGAACACAACCAUGUAUUCCUGACCCUAUAGUGCAAAACUCACCAUUUAGGUGGCUUGCCACCCCCUCAUGCCUCCUUAAAAGGAAUUAAAACUCACCUUAUUUCCAGCGCUGCGCGGGUCUGCCGGUGCUGGCUCUGCCCCCUUGGUGACCUAAUUAGAAUUGCCCAUGGGGAAAGCAUUGGAUUGGAUAAAAUCGACAAGGUUGAGGGGGCAAACGCUGUUUUGGCCAAUCAGCACCUCCUCAUAGAGAUGCAUUGAAUCUCUAUGAGGAAAAUUCAGGGUUUUUAUUUUAUUUUUAAACUGCAUUUUAUUAAUUUGAAGUAAAAGUACUUAAAAGUAAGUCAUGGCUAAUAUAUAUUGCAUACGUAAAAUGCAAAGACCUCUUGUGCGGUAAUCAAUUUAUCACAAUUAUAACAAUAACAAUGGAAUAUUUAUUAAAAUUGCACGGAUGACGUGCAGAUUAAUGUAGCCUUCUGAUCUGAAUAGCAGAACUAGCAUGUCUCCUAUAUGGAAAAAAUCAAUCACGUGUCUGAAGGGAAGUUACUGAAUAUUAAUAGCAGCACAUGAAGGAUUGUGUUGUCAAUGACUUACAUUAUUUUCCACCUCUAAAUAUAGAACGAUAGAUGAGACACCGUUUAUGCUUCCACAUAAAAGUUUAGAUCAGAAGACACAAUGGACUCUAAAAAGGACUAACAAAAGAGGAAUAUUCACUAAACAACAGAUUCUGUAGAUAUUGGAACUGACUUUAUGAAUGUAGGCUGAAUUUGCAAGAUUAAAUUCUUUUUUUAUUCAUUGUCAUAUGCUAUGCUGGCCUACUUUUUGAAAAUGGAUUUCAAAGUCACUGCAACUUGCAGUGUUUAAUGAAUAAAUCCUUCUUUAUAAUACCGUGGGGUAAGUUUUAAUCUAUCUUAUGACAAUCAUCGACAUGUUAAUAGAUGGCAAUGAACCAUUGAUGUUGUUCCAGCAAUCACCAAUCUUUUGGACAAUAAAAAAAAAAAAAUAGUAUUGGUGAAAAUAAGCACAAUACCUUACAUUAAACAGUGAAGUUUAAGCAACAUGCUACCUUUCUGAAGAAGAGUGAUCAACACAUUAGCAGAAUCAUCAGACACUCAACAAAUUCAAUAGAAACAAAUGAGUAUACCACCACAAAAGUCUCCACUGAGCUGAUGUUGCAAACAAAAUCACAAAACCUGUACAAUCAUUUUUGUUCAUCAAUGACCGCAAGUAAAAGACAAUCACUAUAACAAAAAACAAAACAAAAACACACACAAAAAUUGAUAGAACGACAAAUACAAAUGUAUGCUAUACUCAAUAAGUCUGAUUUGAACAACCUUAAAGAACUAUAUCCACAUAUCAAUGCCAAUUUGGAACACCGCAGAUUAUUAAUACUUGUUGUCUAUUAUCGAAACUGCACUUAAAUGUGAUGAAACUGGCAGAUCAAUUAUUUAAGAUGGAUACAUUUCCUAAUCUCUUGGUCUAGAUCUUAAGAUCAUGUGUUAAAAUGGAUUCUAAAGUGUAAGGAAUACAAAGUUGUAUUCCUUACAAUACAGGUCCUCUGUGGCUUUCAUGAAACUAUCCUCCAUCCCCCCCGUCCGGCCUAUGUGUCUACCUCUAGCCUCCUCUUGAUUGGGCAUGGGUCUUACCUUUUUUCUCUUGUGCCGGUCCCGAAAGUUCUUCAUUCAGGGCGUCUCCAUUUUAGCAUUUCCAAGAUGGUGGCAGCUGGAAAGGACAGGCACCUUAGACAUGUGUUGACUGUCAGGAAUGCACACAAGUAAACAUAGAGGAUCCAUGAUGCACAGCAUUUACCAACACGGCCAACGACAAAGUUGACAAAGCAUAUGGAGCUUGACAAACAGAAAUUCAGAGUUCAGUCCAAAUUUUUUCCAAGGGCUACCUUGAGUAAUGUUGGUGAUGCACAACAGUUAGUUUUAUAUUAUUUUUUUAAAAUACUACAGAAUUUUAUUUUUAACUUCCGCACCUCCCCCAUAUUGUUGACUGUGGAAUAUGACAUGAAGUUGAAUUUAGUUUUACACACAGUGAGAUAGAAAUGAAAACAAAACCGUGGUUUACAUUUUUAAGAGUGUAGCGUACAAUUAGAAAUGUUAGUUUAAGGUUCUAAAAUCUACACUUGCACAUAGUGCAGGGUGACAAACAUGCUGAAAGAAAUUUUUAUUUUGGCUUCACUAAAAAAUAAUUUUCUUAUUCAACAGCAGCAAGCACCAAGGUACUGGCUUACAUCUACAGCACAGAUGGUAUCCUGAUUACUUGGCCAACCAAUGAACAGAAACCAUGUUUUAUGAGAGGUUGAAGCCUCAAAUAGGCAGUAAAAGGAAUACAGUGAUUAAUAUUUCCAUUUCGAUGCAUAUUUUCAGUCUUCAAUAAAAGUGUGAGGAAUGGUUAGCACAAAUCUGAAUAUACGUAGAAUAGCUUUGUUCCUUUGUGUUAAAUUUGAACAGUUUGAAUUGAUUGUAGUUUUCUAAAUUUAUAUUUUAAAUUGUAUUUUAGUCAAUCCUGUAGUCUAUUACUGGUAUUGUCGCUUAACAUAUUCAAAUAAACAUCCCUUAUAAGAAAAUGAUAUGAUAUUUUGCCAGUACUGUUGGAUAAGUAUAAACUUGUAAACAGAUGGUAUAUGGUUCCAAGUAGAGUGAGCACGACACUGGAGAUUAUAAAACAGUUUAUAAUUGAAUAUGGCCACUAUGUCUUAUGUCUUUGAUGUUUACAUUAACCACUAAAUAAGCCACUUUACAUUGUUGUCAAUACAGUAGCUGUGAUUUAAUACCAAUGUUGGUUUCUACAUUUAAUUUACAUGGAUGCUCAAAUUAAGUACCGUUUAGAUGUGGCUCUUCUGAUGAUGCACUUUACUCAAAGCCAGGGCACUUUCGUACUUUAAAAAGAAUAUGUAUUCAAUAUCAAUAGAUGGCAACUCUGUUAAGUAUGGUGUAUGUUUGUUAUAUGUUUUUCCUAUUAUUUAAUAAAAAGAUAAAUGAUAAAAAAAAGUAUAAAAUGGCAUGAGAUGGAGAUGAAACUAAUGACUUUUAAACUUUUCCUGAAAAUAUAGCUUUUUUUGUACUCUUGUCUAUGCAUUCUUCGGUUAUGUCAAUUUCUACAAUACAGUGCAGAUACCCUUGAGUAGUAUAGCCAACCUUUCUAGCAAC